AUUGAACGCUGGCGGCAGGCCUAACACAUGCAAGUCGAACGAGUGGCGGACGGGUGAGUAAUGUCUGGGACACUGCCUGAUGGAGGGGGAUAACUACUGGAAACUGUAGCUAAUACCGCAUACCAUCAGAUGUGCCCAGAUGGGAUUAGCUAGUUGGUGGGGUAACGGCUCACCAAGGCGACGAUCCCUAGCUGGUCUGAGAGGAUGACCAGUCACACUGGAACGGAGACACGGUCCAGAAUCCUGCGGGAGGCAGCAGUGGGGAAUAUUGCACAAGGGGCGCAAGCCUGAUGCAGCCAUGCCGCGUGUGUGAAGAAGGACUUCGGAUUGUAAAGUACUUUCAGCUGGGAGGCGUUACCCACAGAAUAAGCACCGGCGAACGCCGGGCCAGCAGCCGCGGUAAUUC
rnacentral:rRNA from 1 species